AUACCUGCCUGUCACGCAGGGGGUCGCGGGUUCGAGCCCCGUCCGUUCCGCCA
rnacentral:tRNA from 2 species